ACGUAGGUGGCGAGCGUUGUCCGGAAUUACUGGGUGUAAAGGGAGCGUAGGCGGGAAGACAAGUUAAAUGUUAAAUACAUCGGCUUAACCGGUGUCCGCGUUUAAAACUGUUUUUCUUGAGUGGGGUAGAGGCAGGCGGAAUUCCUAGUGUAGCGGUGAAAUGCGUAGAUAUUAGGAGGAACACCAGUGGCGAAGGCGGCCUGCUGGGCCUUAACUGACGCUGAGGCUCGAAAGCGUGGGGAGCAAACAG
rnacentral:rRNA from 1 species